AUUGAACGCUGGCGGCAUGCCUUACACAUGCAAGUCGAACGGCAGCACGGGGGCAACCCUGGUGGCGAGUGGCGAACGGGUGAGUAAUGCAUCGGAACGUGCCCAGUAGUGGGGGAUAACCAGUCGAAAGACUGGCUAAUACCGCAUACGACCCAAGGGUGAAAGCGGGGGAUCGCAAGACCUCGCGCUAUUGGAGCGGCCGAUGUCUGAUUAGCUAGUUGGCGGGGUAAGAGCCCACCAAGGCGACGAUCAGUAGCUGGUCUGAGAGGACGACCAGCCACACUGGGACUGAGACUCGGCCCAGACACCUACGGGAGGCAGCAGUGGGGAAUUUUGGACAAUGGGCGCAAGCCUGAUCCAGCCAUGCCGCGUGCGGGAAGAAGGCCUUCGGGUUGUAAACCGCUUUUGGCAGGAACGAAACGGCGAUCUAUAAUACGGGUCGUUAAUGACGGUACCUGCAGGAUAAGCACCGGCUAACUACGUGCCAGCCGCCGCCGUAACAC
rnacentral:rRNA from 1 species